rnacentral:lncRNA from 1 species
GAAGUGCGGAGACGGGGUUUUGGAGACGGUGGAUGGAGGAGGGGGAGGGAAAGCUGCCAACUUUGGAUACCAACCCCGUACACCCACCGAAGGGGAUGUCCCACUUUUUCCAGCGCUGGGAGCAAAAAGAUAACAGUGAGCGAGGUUGAAAAGUAAGACAUUGAUUUAAAUAGAAGAAAAACUGUUGUUUCAACCAACGAAGAGAUUCUUUGUUUUCUUAUCUGUAAAAUGUGAAAAAUCGUACCUAACCUACAGGGUGAUUGUGAGGAGUAAUUGAAAUAAAAUUCGAGGAAUUGUGUAACGUGAAGUACCAUGAACAAUAAAACAGGAGGCAGAAUGAAAAGGAGUCUACUCCUAUGUAAAUCUUCUGCAGGUUGUGCAGUGGACUUCACCUAGUCUCCCAUCUCCAGCUAAUUUGGCCAAGAAUAGUCACCUGGCGCAAGGUGGGGAGGGAGCUCUCAAUUGGCCAGCAACUUCUGACGUGUGACCUGACUGAACAAUGAGAGGCUCGAGUGAAAUUACCAGCUGGUAGUAGGACAGAGGAUAUAGAUACAUGGAAUGGAGCUGAGCCAAAUUAAUGACAAAGGACUAGACAAGAAUGACUGUUGAUGAUCACCUAUGCUGAGAUCACAAAGCUGCCCCGAGUCCAGAAGCAGGUUCACUGAGGGAGGCUCAACCAUGUUACCAAUCUUGUUUGAGAUUAAUGUUCCUUGUUGUAAACCUCAAGUCUGUUUCUUGCAAUCAAACCAUUCUAAAUUGAAACAACUACUUAGAAAGUGUUUCUAUGGGUUCAGUGGGACAUUUCAACCAAAUGAAAUAUGAUAAUGAUCUUAAAUGAACUAACAAUAGUGUUGCAGAAAUAAAAUACAAAUACCAGAAAGA